rnacentral:rRNA from 1 species
GAUGAACGCUGGCGGCGUGCCUAAUACAUGCAAGUCGAGCGAACGGACGAGAAGCUUGCUUCUCUGAUGUUAGCGGCGGACGGGUGAGUAACACGUGGAUAACCUACCUAUAAGACUGGGAUAACUUCGGGAAACCGGAGCUAAUACCGGAUAAUAUUUUGAACCGCAUGGUUCAAAAGUGAAAGACGGUCUUGCUGUCACUUAUAGAUGGAUCCGCGCUGCAUUAGCUAGUUGGUAAGGUAACGGCUUACCAAGGCAACGAUGCAUAGCCGACCUGAGAGGGUGAUCGGCCACACUGGAACUGAGACACGGUCCAGACUCCUACGGGAGGCAGCAGUAGGGAAUCUUCCGCAAUGGGCGAAAGCCUGACGGAGCAACGCCGCGUGAGUGAUGAAGGUCUUCGGAUCGUAAAACUCUGUUAUUAGGGAAGAACAUAUGUGUAAGUAACUGUGCACAUCUUGACGGUACCUAAUCAGAAAGCCACGGCUAACUACGUGCCAGCAGCCGCGGUAAUACGUAGGUGGCAAGCGUUAUCCGGAAUUAUUGGGCGUAAAGCGCGCGUAGGCGGUUUUUUAAGUCUGAUGUGAAAGCCCACGGCUCAACCGUGGAGGGUCAUUGGAAACUGGAAAACUUGAGUGCAGAAGAGGAAAGUGGAAUUCCAUGUGUAGCGGUGAAAUGCGCAGAGAUAUGGAGGAACACCAGUGGCGAAGGCGGCUUUCUGGUCUGUAACUGACGCUGAUGUGCGAAAGCGUGGGGAUCAAACAGGAUUAGAUACCCUGGUAGUCCACGCCGUAAACGAUGAGUGCUAAGUGUUAGGGGGUUUCCGCCCCUUAGUGCUGCAGCUAACGCAUUAAGCACUCCGCCUGGGGAGUACGACCGCAAGGUUGAAACCCAAAGGAAUUGACGGGGACCCGCACAAGCGGUGGAGCAUGUGGUUUAAUUCGAAGCAACGCGAAGAACCUUACCAAAUCUUGACAUCCUUUGACAACUCUAGAGAUAGAGCUUUCCCCUUCGGGGGACAAAGUGACAGGUGGUGCAUGGUUGUCGUCAGCUCGUGUCGUGAGAUGUUGGGUUAAGUCCCGCAACGAGCGCAACCCUUAAGCUUAGUUGCCAUCAUUAAGUUGGGCACUCUAAGUUGACUGCCGGUGACAAACCGGAGGAAGGUGGGGAUGACGUCAAAUCAUCAUGCCCCUUAUGAUUUGGGCUACACACGUGCUACAAUGGACAAUACAAAGGGCAGCGAAACCGCGAGGUCAAGCAAAUCCCAUAAAGUUGUUCUCAGUUCGGAUUGUAGUCUGCAACUCGACUACAUGAAGCUGGAAUCGCUAGUAAUCGUAGAUCAGCAUGCUACGGUGAAUACGUUCCCGGGUCU